GAUGAACGCUAGCGGCAGGCCUAAUACAUGCAAGUCGAACGAGAUUAAGAGGCUUGCUUCUUAUGAAAGUGGCGCACGGGUGCGUAACGCGUAUGCAACCUACCUUAAUCAGGGGGAUAGCCCGAAGAAAUUCGGAUUAAGACCGCAUAAAAACACAGGAUAGCAUUAUCCAAUGUUCAAAUAUUUAUAGGAUUAAGAUGGGCAUGCGUGUCAUUAGCUAGUUGGCGGGGUAACGGCCCACCAAGGCGACGAUGACUAGGGGAUCUGAGAGGAUGACCCCCCACACUGGUACUGAGACACGGACCAGACUCCUACGGGAGGCAGCAGUAAGGAAUAUUGGUCAAUGGAGGGAACUCUGAACCAGCCAUGCCGCGUGCAGGAAGACAGCACUCUGGGUCGUAAACUGCUUUUAUUCGGGAAUAAACCUUUCUACGUGUAGGAAGCUGAAUGUACCGAAGGAAUAAGGAUCGGCUAACUCCGUG
rnacentral:rRNA from 1 species